rnacentral:rRNA from 1 species
GACAGAGGUGCCAAGCGUUAGGCGGAAUCACUGGGCUUAAAGCGUGUGUAGGCGGACCGUUAAGUGCCUUGUGAAAUCCCAUGGCUCAACCAUGGAACUGCUGGGCAUACUGGCGGUCUUGAGUCACCCAGGGGCUGUCGGAACAAAUGGUGGAGCGGUGAAAUGCGUAGAUAUCAUUUGGAACGCCAAUGGCGAAAGCAGACAGCUGGGGGGUGAUCUGACGCUGAGACACGAAAGCCAGGGGAGCGAACGGG